rnacentral:rRNA from 1 species
AGCGAACGUUAGCGGCGAGCUUAACACAUGCAAGUCGCACGAGAACCUUCUUCGGAAGGCGUAAAGUGGCGCACGGGUGCGUAACACGUAGGUAAUCUGCCCUUCGGCGGGGGAUAACGUUCCGAAAGGAACGCUAAUACCGCAUAAGACCACGACCUCUGCGGAGGUUGAGGUCAAAGCUGGCCUCUUCUUGAAAGCUAGCACCGAAGAAUGAGCCUGCGGCCCAUCAGCUAGUUGGUGAGGUAAUGGCUCACCAAGGCAAAGACGGGUAGCUGGUCUGAGAGGAUGAUCAGCCACACUGGCACUGAAACACGGGCCAGACUCCUACGGGAGGCAGCAGUGGGGAAUAUUGGACAAUGGGCGCAAGCCUGAUCCAGCCACGCCGCGUGAGUGAUGAAGGCCUCGGUUGUAAGACUCUGUGGACGAGACGAAAAAGUAGGAGGCGAAUAGGACGUCUGCUCUU